GGUUGAUCCUGCCAGUAGUCAUAUGCUUGUCUCAAAGAUUAAGCCAUGCAUGUGUAAGUAUAAGUAUUGUACAGCGAAACUGCGAAUGGCUCAUUACAUCAGUUAUAGUUUAUUUGAUAUUUGAAAGUUACAUGGAUAACCGUGGCAAUUCUACAGCUAAUACAUGCUUCAAAACCUGACUUUUUGGAAGGGUUGUAUUUAUUAGAUAUUAAACCAUCCCUUCGGGGUUGUGAUGAAUCAUAAUAACUGAUCGAAUCGAGGUUCGCCUUGAUAAAUCAUUCAAGUUUCUGCC
rnacentral:rRNA from 1 species